UUUUUUUAUGGAGAGUUUGAUCCUGGCUCAGGAUGAACGCUGGCGGCGUGCCUAAUACAUGCAAGUCGAG
rnacentral:rRNA from 1 species